GAGUUUGAUCGUGGCUCAGGACGAACGCUGGCGGCGUGCUUAACACAUGCAAGUCAAGGGGGCCCAGCAAUGGGCAACCGGCGAACGGGUGCGUAACACGUGAGCAACCUACCGAAAUGCGGGGGAUAGCCGGCCUAACGGCCGAGUAAUACCGCAUACGCUCUUUAUGAGGCAUUUCAUGGAGAGGAAACCUACGGGGUAUUUCGAGGGGCUCGCGGCCUAUCAGCUAGUUGGCGAGGUAACGGCUCACCAAGGCAACGACGGGUAGCUGGCCUGAGAGGAUGGCCAGCCACAUUGGGACUGAGAUACGGCCAGACUCCUACGGGAGGCAGCAGUGGGGAAUCUUGCGCAAUGGCCUAACGGCUGACGCAGCGACGCCGCGUGUGGGAUGAAGCUCCUCGGAGUGUAAACCACUGUUGCCCGGGACGAAUAGCUCGAUUAAUCGAGCCUGACGGUACCGGGUGAGGAAGCACCGGCUAACUCCGUGCCAGCAGCCG
rnacentral:rRNA from 1 species